rnacentral:tRNA from 1 species
AUUGCUCAGCAGCAGAGUUCAGGAUUUGCAUGCCUGAGGUCCCAGGUUCAAUCCCUGGU